UGUACACAGGUUUGAAGACUGGCUGUUCCUCAGAUGCUCAGGAGUUUACCAGCUCUGAUAUCUCCACCUCCCGGCUGUGCUCUGCUGCUCAACGAUGUGCAUCUCCAGACCAGCAGCUUAGCGAUGGUAGCAGGAAUCAGCUGUCUGCUAGGAGCUACUCUCUCCUCUGGUGACCACAAAAUGGUGGAGUUCAAAAUCCUCAGGGUGUCAGAGAGGGUGCAUAGCAAGCUUGCUACUCUGGGCUUCAGGAGAGCAGACUUGGAACUCUUCAGGGAACUGCUUGGCAGAGUGACAUGGGAGAAAGCCCUGGAGGGAAGAGAGGCCCAAGAAAGCUGGUCAAUAUUCAAGAACCAUCUUCUCCUAGCCCAGAAGCAUUGCAUCCUGAGAAAAAGGAAGGCAGGCAAGAACGCCAGGAGGCCUCUGUGGAUCAACAAGGAGCUCUUAGACUUACUUAAAGUCUAUAGGGAGUGGAAGCAGGAACAGGUUGCCUGGGAGGACUGCAACGUUGUCAGAGCAGGCAGGGAAAAAGCUAAAACCCAGACAGAAUUAAAUCUAGCCAGGGACAGCGAGGGGACCAAGAAGAAAUUCUACAGGUAUAUCAGUGAUAAAUAGAAUGUCUGGGAGGAUGUGGACCCUCUCCGGUCGGAAACUGGAGAUCUGGUCACAGGAGAUAUGGAGA
rnacentral:lncRNA from 1 species